rnacentral:lncRNA from 1 species
GAAAAGAAGUACCAGCAGCCAGGUUACAACAGAACAUAACAACGUGCUGGGAUCCCCAGAGAGACACUGUGUGCUCAUUCACCCUGGUGAGAAAGUGGCCCCCAAGGAAUGGCCGACUCAGGACCGUGCGAGUUAGGGCAUGGGAUAAGGGCACGCACCACGGGCUCCUGCUCAGGGGCCUCAGCCUUUCUCUGCCUUGCACUUCCAAGAGCAACUGAUUAUGCGGCCUCUGGGCCCACAGGUUUGGUCCAAACCAGACCGCUUAACUGAGCCAUCUAACAGCCGGGUUCCCUUCAGUGCCUCUUCCGGAGAACAUGGGCUUUCUCCAUCUACUCAGCCUUUCCCCUCCUCUACUCCUGUUCCCAGGCUGUCAGGGAAACGGUUAAAAAUGAGAAUCAGCAAAAUGCAGGUGCUCUCUGAAAUAGCCUUGGCUCCUCUGCCUUCCUGCAGAAAGGGUGACUGUUACCUGAGAAAAGAAUGUAUAGAGACAACUGUGACACCUAAAGGACUG